rnacentral:lncRNA from 1 species
UACCAGACUUGCAGUCCUUCUCCACAGCUGUGUUCUUUGCCGAUCGCAGAUUGCAGUCCUUUGUGAUUCCAGGAUAAAUCCAUUUUGCUGGUAAAAUAACUGGCUGUUUCCUUGUUUUAGGUUAGCAACCCCCUCCCAAGGCCAAGGCCACACCUGCUUCAAAGCAGGCUUGAAGAGCAGACUGGAAGCCUCCUAUGACGGAAGCUAGGUUCUUUGGGACUCAGUGACCUCUGUGCUGAGCGGAUACUCCUUCAGAAAGGCUUUUCCUUUGUUCUUCCAGAGACCCAGCGCCUCGUCUGUUUCCCUACGUGUGGCUCUAGGUGGCCUGAAAAAAGCAAGUUAUCCUGACGGCAUCUUCAGCUGCACGACUUGCUGACCAGCCCCGUGCUCGGCCUGAGAGAGGGAACCUUAGUAGAGGAUGUACCGGGGCCAGAGCCGGAGAAGGACGUUUUGGACCCAUGGGCGCGCCUGUUCACAGACGCAGAGGCUCGGAGAGCCUGCGUGUCCAGGACGACGCGUAUCAGGAGAGGGGGUCCCUGGCUGUGUUCCCGCUCUGUCCUCCCUAUAGCUCCCCGCACACCCGGAUGUGGCCCCGUGGAGCCGGCCCCCGGGGGCCCGGCAGCUCUCAGAGCGUCUGAGAUGCUGGUCUCCCUGGAAGGCUGCUUCCUCUGCUCAAAGUGGCCCUCCGUUUCUCACUUUUCUGUUUCGAAGGCUGCAUACAAGUGUACCUUCGGCAUGCGUCUCUUUUGGAGAACCUGUCACCUUGAAAGUCGUGCUGCCCAUACAGCAACCCCCCCCCCAGCAUGGGGAGGGGCCCUUCCCGAAGCCAGUGACCAAGAAAGAAUGCUUUUCUCGCUUGCUGAAGCCGAAGCCCUUCCCAGCCUGUGGGCUCUCACUCCCUCUGCCCCGGGUUCUGACGGCUUCUGGUGACCGGCAGCCCCGUCUGUCCCUUCACGCUCUCCCCGGUGGGACCGGGGGCCUCCACGGCCUGGGCCUGCUCGUCUCGGUCUGACCUCCGGAGGUCACCUCUCAGUCGCUCUCCUGAAACCACCUGCAGGUCUCCUGGCCUUGUGGCCUUGUGGGUGAUCUCAGGGCCCCCCAUUUCUGCUCCUCCCCAUGGACUGCUCCUGGGUCCUCUUCCAGAAAGCUCUCUGAGUCUCUGCAAGUGUUGGAGGCACUGUCUCAACCAGGACCCCCUUUCUCUCCUGCCUUCAGGGACUGUCCCCAGCUGCCAGCAUGCCCACUUUAUUUGCGCUCACACGGCCUCGAGCAGGUACCCCUGCCCUCUGGUCUCCAGAGAGUGACUGUUGGGAGCAAACGUUCUUGCCACGUCCUGGCUCCUUCCAACCCGUGCGUGUGCUGCCCAUCGCUUGGCCUUCUCCCUGGCCGUGCCGCGGCCCCCGCUCUGGAUCCCGGGCCGUUCUGCCUGCGUGAGGACCUCACUGCACCAGCGGGGCCCCACCUCCUGCCCCCGUCCGUCACCCCCCUGGCUCCCCAGUCCCAGCAGAUACAGGCUCCCAAGCCUUUACCUUCGCAGGGAGCUGCGCACGUGGGCCCUUGAGCUGUCUUUUCUGAACACCGCCCUCUCACAGCCAGAGAGGAGCCAGCACACUGGUGACGGCCUGCCCCUGCUCACUCCAACUCCUCAUCCCGCAGAAAGGCCCAUCACCCAGUCACUGAAAGUGCUCCCCAGCGGAUCACCCGAGGCCCGCCAGAUCCAAAUUUAGGAAUUCUCCACAUACACACCUUGACGCCUCAUUUAUUUCAUACCCUACGAAAACCAUCCUCCUUGCGAAGAGACGCCAAGGUCAGGUUGCCGUGGUAACGCUCACGUUCUUGGCCACCUGCCCGCCCGAACCAGAGGGAUGCCCCCCAGAGCCCGGUCCAGAAUGUGAGUGGGAAGCAGUGGGAAGACACUGCUCCUGGGCACGGGCGUGAGCAGCAGGGCUUGAGCGCAAAGCCUGUACUUGGAAGAGGGGUGUGUGCUGCUCCUGUGUAGUAACAGCUCAACAGACGCUAGAAGUCUCCAGUCCGGGGGUUUCUGGCCAAGCCUCAGGGGUCCCUCUGGCCCACUGUCCCCCGGGACAGACUCAGGCCUCUGCUUCAGAGGGUCCAGACGUGACCAGGGUGGCCGAGCUCCUGCCUCGGGAAUGGGAGAGGCAGAGGCAGCCCUCUGCAGGGCCCACGGGGCCUCCUUCUGCGGCCACCAAAGGUUCCCAGGCCACCGCCACCAGCAGUCGCUCCGAGUCAGACAGAUGCGUGGGGGAGAAGAAGGCAGGGGAGCAGCGGGUGGGGCCGCACCCACCCCAACGCCCAGGCCACCCCACGGGGCAGAAGCGCGAGUCUGACUUGUCCGCUGUCUUGGGUCAGCAGCGUCGCUGCUGAAAACUGACCCUGGCACUGUCCACCCUCCCAAGUUCCAGGGGCUAGGCAGAGACACGUGAGGGAUGUGUGAGUUCUCAUGCCUGUGCCAGUUAGUGGCGGAGUCCAAGCUUUUUCAACCUUACCUUCUGCUUGCUGGGAUCUGGUGGCAGGAGCUGAGGACAGCACGGGGCCCAGGAUGACACCCGCUGCCCCUCGCUGAGGCGUCUUUCGCUCUGAGUGUCUUACACCCAAGGCACUCUGUCUGCCCCUGGACGCCCCCCGCCCCCCGCCAGGCCCAUAGCACCGAGCUCCGGGCACCCCUGCUCACG